rnacentral:rRNA from 1 species
CCUACGGGUGGCUGCAGUGGGGAAUUUUGCACAAUGGAGGAAACUCUGAUGCAGCAACGCCGCGUGAGUGAAGAAGGCCCUUGGGUUGUAAAGCUCUUUCGGCUGGGAAAAAGGGUGCAGGGUAGAACCUUGUACUUGAUGGUACCAGAAGAAGAAGCACCUGCUAACUACGUGCCAGCAGCAGCGGUAAUACGUAGGGUGCGAGCGUUGUUCGGAAUCACUGGGCGUAAAGGGCGCGUAGGCGGGUUUGUAAGUUGUCUGUGAAAUUCCUGGGC